UUAAAUCUUCUCUUAGAUCACGAACCAAAACCCUAGACAAAGGUCUCGAUCAAUCCUCGCCGGAUCUCGCCUGCAAGGGUUUCCUACGCCGUCCCAAUGGCAUCCCUCAAGAAGCGAAAAGCCGAACAAGACUCCGAUCGCUUCUUUCCCAAUCAAGGCACUGAUACGAAGCCUCAUCAUUCAGCCGUCGAGUAUAUCCGCCAGCCUGACGACGAGACCGGUGCACCCGGUGGCGCCGGCGCCGGCGCCGGCGAUAGCGCUUCGGACUCGGAGGACGACUACGAUGAGGAGGAAGAAGACGUCCGCAAGCUUCUUGACCCCCUCUCUAACGAUCAGCUUUCCUCACUUCUCGUUUCAGCGGCAGCUCGAGAUUCCGCCACACUCGCCGAGAUUCGCGCCCUAGCCGACGUCGAUCCUUCUCAUCGCAAGCUCUUCGUACACGGCCUCGACUGGAACACGACAUCUGACGGUCUCCGCGCCGCGUUUUCUCGCUAUGGAGAAAUCGUUGAGAGCCGCGUCGUUUUCGACCGACCAACCGGCCGAUCAAAGGGAUACGGUUUCAUCCUAUUUCGCCACCGCUCCUCUGCUCGUCGUGCCCUCUGCAAACCCCAAAAGCUCAUCGACAACCGAAUGGCAUCGUGCCAGCUAGCAAGCAAUGGCCCCACCCCGAACCCUAACCCUAACUAUCUCCAUAAUUCUAACCCCAACCAUAACCAUGGCGAUAACCUUGCACGCAAGAUCUACGUUGGCAACGUGCACUCCGAUAUCGACGGUCGCCGCCUCCACGCGUUCUUCUCUCAGUAUGGAGAGAUCGAGGAAGGGCCGCUUGGGUUCGAUCGCCACACAGGUAAGUCUAAGGGCUUUGCAAUUUUCUUGUACAAAACUUCUGAGGGAGCAAGAAAGGCUUUGGAAGAGACUAAUAAGAACUUUGAGGGACAUCACCUUGUCUGUCAGAAGGCUACUGAUAGCAACAAGGCAAAGACAUCAGCACCGGUUAGUAACAACGCUGAUGGCUCAGCUGCUACUGUGCCAAAUGUUCCAGCGAGCUAUGUUGGUUACAAUGGGUCUGCUUACGGCGGGCAAGUUGCCCAAUCAGACAUCGGGCUGGCACAGCAGGCAGUAAUGCUAGGACAGGGGCUGCUUGGGCAAACUAUGCCUGCAAAUGCUGCUGUCCUUGCUAUGUUGGCAGCCACAGGCCAGAACCCAGCUGGUUUUGGCGUCACUCCGGCAAUGCUUGCUUCUUUAAACCCUGCUCUUGCUAUGGCAUUGGCUGCAGGGGCAACUCCAGCUGCACUUCCGCAGGCAGCAGCAGCAGUGACACAGCAACAAGGGGCUGUCCCAAUGCAGGGAUAUGCAAUGGGAAGCUCUGGGUAUCAGAAUAUUGGGUUUCAAGGUCCUCCUGGAUUCCAAGGGCCGCCAGGAUUCCAAAGUGCAUCAGGUUUUCAGGGGAGUAUACCCCAAGUGGGCACACAUCAGGGCGGAAAUACGGGUAAUGCAGCAGCGCAAAGAUCUUCAAUGGGCUCUAUGGGUGGUUAUGGUCUUCAUUAGGAACUUCUUGAAUUUUUAUUCUCUUUAAUGUGAAGACCCGAGUGAUGGGUGGCUUGAACAAGUUGAAUUGAGCUGGAUCUCAAGUGGAGGGAUUGGAUGAAGUUUAGCUGUUGAGCAUUCUUUGUGCCAAGAAUCUAAAAUAUUUCAUUGGGUUUACAGAUUAAAGACCUAUCCAUCAAUUAACAGGGAGGUACCUGAUAUACUUGAUCCAGUUACAAAUUAAAGACUAACUAGAAAGUUGCUUUAAGAAGUAGUAAAAAAGUCGUCACAAACAAAAUCUAAGGUUCACGUGAAUGAGGACAACCCGGUAAGCUCGAUUCAGUUACAUGGGCUACCAUAAGUUUGUUUCUUUGUCAGCUUCCUCUUUACUUAAGAUUUAUAAAAAAAAUGUAAAUAUAAAUGGAAAUUCAGUUUACAAAUUACUUUAUACGCCUACACAUCAUCUAAUGGUUGACACUCAAUUUUCAUGUGAAGAUCAUGCUAGAACUUGUCAAUAUAUAGGUGUAUAUAGAUCAAUACAUUGUUGCAUUACAAAUUUGAAUUUUUAUCAUAUUGGAUACCAAUAAACCAAUGAGAUGAUAUCAGUACUAUUGUCAUCUAUGAAUAUCAUGAAAGGCAAGUUUGAUGAAGACAGAUGGAAGGAUUAUAUAUUAAUGAAGCAGCUGCCGGAGCAAUUGCAAAGGGAAACCUUAUUCUGCGGCUUGGAGAAAGGAGAUUUUGCUCGAGAGCUUUUGGAAUGUCUUGAUUGUUGAAGCUCUUUAGGAAAGGGAGCUGGCAGAAUUUUUAUUCCGUGCAGAGUUCGGACGCCAUCCAGAGACCAACAACAGUGUGCCACAUCACAGUGCAGUAUCAAGCGUUACCGGACAGUUCUCCCGUCUGUCCGGUGUCCGCACAGAAUAAUCUCUCGAGUGAGGCACAGAUUGGGCCACGAAUGCUGCAUACUAAUCAUUAAGCUAGGUGCUGUUUCAUGUGGAGGAAAAUAGGUUUGAUGAUAUUUGAAGACGCUUUUACAUGUUGUCUUUUGGUGUACAAUUUCAAAAUGAUAUAUCUAUUAAAUUUAAGGAUUGAUUAAUAUUGUACAGUUGCUAUCAACCUGACUCACUCCUUGAAUAAAUUCCUACAAGGUUUAAUCGCCAA